UAGUGGCGAACGGGUGAGUAACACGUGGGCAAUCUGCCCUGCACUCUGGGACAAGCCCUGGAAACGGGGUCUAAUACCGGAUAACACUGUCCCCCUCCUGGGGGACGGUUGAAAGCUCCGGCGGUGCAGGAUGAGCCCGCGGCCUAUCAGCUUGUUGGUGGGGUAAUGGCCUACCAAGGCGACGACGGGUAGCCGGCCUGAGAGGGCGACCGGCCACACUGGGACUGAGACACGGCCCAGACUCCUACGGGAGGCAGCAGUGGGGAAUAUUGCACAAUGGGCGAAAGCCUGAUGCAGCGACGCCGCGUGAGGGAUGACGGCCUUCGGGUUGUAAACCUCUUUCAGCAGGGAAGAAGCGAAAGUGACGGUACCUGCAGAAGAAGCGCCGGCUAACUACGUGCCAGCAGCCGCGGUAAUACGUAGGGCGCAAGCGUUGUCCGGAAUUAUUGGGCGUAAAGAGCUCGUAGGCGGUCUGUCACGUCGGGUGUGAAAGCCCGGGGCUUAACCCCGGGUCUGCAUUCGAUACGGG
rnacentral:rRNA from 1 species